GGAGGGAUGGCCGAGCGGUCGAAGGCGCACGCCUGGAACGCGUGUAUACGGUGACCCCGUAUCGUGGGUUCGAAUCCCACUCCCUCCGCCA
rnacentral:tRNA from 1 species